rnacentral:rRNA from 1 species
GGAUGCGAUCAUACCAGCACUAAAGCACCGGAUCCCAUCAGAACUCCGAAGUUAAGCGUGCUUGGGCGAGAGUAGUACUAGUGCUUGGGCGAGAGUAGUACUAGGAUGGGUGACCUCCUGGGAAGUCCUCGUGUUGCAUUCC